rnacentral:tRNA from 1 species
GGCAGCAUUGCAUAGUAGAAUGUGGACUUUGGAGUUAGUCAGCUCUAGGUUCGAAUCCCAGUGCUGCCA